rnacentral:lncRNA from 1 species
GUAAUUGGAGAGCCAUUUGUGCUUGCAUGUGAAGGUCAUGGGGUGCCCCGGGAUGGGCAUUCUAUGUUCAGAGUGAGCUGAAGUUCAUAUCUGGACAUUUUAAAACUUCUGAGUUGUCAUAAACUGUCACAAGCAUGGUAUCUUGAUCAUUUAAUUUUUACAACCGAUACAGCAUUGUUGUGCUGCCCAUGUAAAAGCAGCCUCAGAGAAGAUGUCGGGUGAUAUAUCCAAAUCACAGAGCUAGCUAAGUGCUGAAGGAAGGUUGCAAUGGUUGAUGCAGUAUCACUUGUAGUACUAACUGUAUAGUUACAUGACAUACAGCAUGUAGUAUGGUACCUUAUAAACAGUGGUGCUAAAUUCUCUGAUUGUGAACCUUCUAAGGGUUAUUAUUUCCAUUUCAGGUGCAAAAGAAAGAUCCCAAAGAAUGGGCAGCUCAGUACCGAGAGGCAAUGGAAGCAGAUUUGAAGGCUGCGGCUGAGGCUGCUGCCGAAGCCAAGGCGAGGGCUGAGAUUAGAGCUCAGAUGGGCAUUGGGCUUGGCUCUGAGAAUGCUGCUGGGCCCUGCAACUGGGAUGAAGCUGAUAUUGGACCCUGGGCAAAGGCCCGGAUCCAGGCGGGAGCUGAAACUAAAGCCAAAGCCCAAGAAAGUAGUGGUGCCAGUGCUGGUACUGGUGCCGGUGCCAGUGCCAGUGCUGGUACCAGUGUCAGUACCAGUGGCACUGCUGGUUCUGGUGCUAAUGCUGGGGCCAGUGGGGGCUUCAGUACCAACCCCAGUCUGACUGCCAGUCUCACGUUUGGGCUCUUCGCUGGCCUUAGUGGAGCUGGGGCCAGUAACAGUAGCAGCUCUGGUGCCUGUGGUUUCUCCUACAAGUGAGAUACAGGUAUCUGUCAUGGGGGCAGUGAGGUGGCUGGGUCUUGGGGGGGAUGGGGAGCUGACUCCUGGAUUGAAGAUAAGCCUGGGGCAUGUGUAAAGAUGGUAACCUGUUUGCCAGAUAUCAACUGACUGAUUUUCCUUUAUUUGUGUUUCCAGAUUGCUAAUCACAGCGUCUUCUUCUCAAGCCAGGGUGCACUCUCAGACACUUAUUCAAUGCAGCACUCUAGGCAACCGCUAUCAAUCAAUUGAAGUCGACACUCUAUAUUAAAUCUAUUUGCCAUUUC